UUGUUUCCAGCCAUCUUCAAACCACUUGAUCAUCCAGGACAGGUAUUUCAAAGCAUCGUGUAAUCUUGAUUGGCUUCAUUUUUGGCCAAAAUCAGCAACAGAACUCUUGCGCACAAUAUGUUCGAUGAAAGGUCUCAAGUAACAUCCGAGCACCUAUAUUUAAGCCAUUCUCCGCGUCUCGAUUGGCCUUGAUUGGUCACUGUUCCAUAGCCUAGAACGAAUGUGCAGUUAUUGCCCAGCCACCAAAUUUGAAUCCCUUCCCUGUUAGGCUCGUACGAAAGCAUUAAUUCCAAGUUUUUAUUGCUGACGAGAACUGCAUGCUACCUGCUCGUUGGUAUUUCGCUGCCAACAUUUAUGUCUUGUAGCUUUCUUCAACAUCCAAGUGACGAUAUGAUCAUAUAUGGAAACAUCACUAACACCAGAUUCUAAUUCUAUGUUGUCCUUGACUUCUUCUAGCUGUUGUCUAGAGUUGUCUGCUCAGCUUGCUCAGCAGACGGCUAGCAUUGGAUUUAUCACUUGAGCAUGCUUCCCCUACUUUCUCUAAUACCGGCACUUCAGGUGUAUCUAAGUCUUCCCUGACCCGGAUUAUAGAAUCCAGUGCUUCCUAUCAUAUGACUCUAUAUGAAUCUUUUCUUAGUAUUUCUGCAUCAUCUCCUUUUCAACCUCCUAAUGUUACUACUUAUGGUAUCCUAAGACGACCGUUUUAGCAAGGUGAAGUCAAAGCCGCCCACUUUACUAUUCCCUCCAUCUGCAUUGCCCAGCUUAUCUGUUGAUUUGCUAUUUGGUAGUCAGCUUACUGAUCAUGAAUGUCUUGUUUCAUUUGAUGUUGCAUCUUGUUAUGUGCGAGAUUAGCAAAUCCAGUAGUCUGAUUAGUUUUGGCAAUCGCUUAACGGAGUAUAUUUGAUGGACUGCUUCGAUGUGCCUACCUCUUUGGUCACAUAUAUACAGACAUUUCCUCUACCCUUGGCUUUGAGUCUUGGCAUCAUCGCAUUGGCUCUCUGUGAUUCAUCUUACUGCCCUUAUUCAUACUGAAGGUUUAGAUCCUCUACCUAGUCUAGAUAUGCCAUAUUGCAAAGGUUGUGUCUUAAUGCAAAACUGCCUUUUCAUUCUAGUAAUCUAUUUCUGCUUUGCCUGUCGAAUUGAUUCACUCAGAUACUAGGGAGUCUAGCCCUGUUUGUUAGAAAUGGUUGAAAAAGAUACUAUAUCACUUUCAUUAAUGAUUACUCUAUUUUUGCAUGGAUUUAUUUGCUGCAUUCUUGCUUACCGCUAUGCCAGAUUUACAAAUAUUUUAUUGCUAUUGUUCCCGCUCAUUUCCUUUAAGCCAUUAAGACCCUCCUCCCAAUUCUGGUCGUUAGUAUUUAUCCCAUGACUUUCUGACCUAGCUUCAGGAGGGACUCUUCCUUCCUCUCUUAUUAUGGUGCUCCCAAAAAAAAGGUAUAGCUAAGCAAAAGCAUCCUUACAUUAUCAAGACAGCUCAUUCUCUUUUGCUUCUGGUCCUCCUCAUUUCUGGGCUAACGCUGCUUGGAUUGUCUAUCUCAUCGAUAUUCAUUGUACUUUGUUCUUCAUAACCUUAAUUGUAGUGAGUCCUCGAAGAUAUGAUAAUCUGAGUUUUCUGUUAUAGUUGCUUUGUUAUUCCCUUUUUCUUUGAAUGCACCAAACUCUCUCUCCUCAAUCUACUCGAUGUGUUUUCCUAGGUUAUAGUCUCGAACAUAAAAGAUUUGCAUGUUAUAAUCCUAUGGUUCGGUGCAUGCAUAUCUUUUGUGAUGUUAUUUUUCAUGAGAAUACUUCUUAUCAUUCUUCCUCAUCCACAGUC
rnacentral:lncRNA from 1 species